rnacentral:rRNA from 1 species
AUGGAGGCGCUGUGGAAGCAGGCCUCCAGGCUCAAGGAGCAGGUCGCGCGCCAGGGUGUGUUUAAGCAGUUUGGGGCUGGUGGCUAUGGAAAUUCUGAUAAUGCAUUCACAGACGAGUCAGAAGUUAAACUACAUCAGAGAUUGGAAAAACUUUACUUAUCCACUCGUGCUGCCAAACAUUUUCAAAGGGACGUCGUUCGGGGUGUGGAGGGCUACAUAGUGACAGGAUCUAAGCAAGUGGAGAUAGGGAACAAAUUGUCUGAUGAUAGCCAGAAAUAUGGCAUUGAAAACACAUGUACAAGUGGUAAUACUUUAUCCAGAGCUGCUACGUACUAUGGAAAGGCGCGUUCACUGAUAGAAAAGGAACGCGGGAACAUGCUGAAAGCAUUUGGUACUCAGGUGGCAGAGCCUCUACGGGCAAUGGUAAUGGGUGCCCCUCUAGAGGAUGCUAGACAUCUAGCCCAGAGAUAUGACAGAAUAAGGCAAGAAGCUGAUGCUCAGGUCGUUGAAGUUUCAAGGCGUCAAAGCAGAGUAAGAGAAUCAGCUGGGAAUAGCGACGUGAUAUCAAAGUUGGAGGCAGCUGAGUAUAAACUUGAAGAACUGAAGUCAAACAUGGUGGGAUUAGGAAAGGAAGCGGUUUCAGCUAUGGCUGCAGUAGAGGGGCAGCAGCAAAGAUUGACAUUACAACGCCUGAUUGCGAUGGUUGAGGCCGAGAGAACUUAUCAUCAGAAAGUCCUGGAGAUCCUUGACCAUUUGGAAGAAGAAAUGGUGUCUGAGCGCCAAAAAAUCGAAGCACCUCCACCCCCUGCAGCAGAGAGUUUUAUGUCACCGCCACCACCAUCAUAUGACGAAGUUAAUGGCAUGUUUGCCUCCACUUCUGCUGAUCAGGCAGUUAACUCUGUCGACUUCUUCCUGGGAGAGGCGCUCGAUUCCUUCGAGGCUGAGAGUGAGUUUGAGCUUAACUUAUCAGUUGGCGACAUCGUUAUCGUCCGGAAGAUAUCAAGCAACGGUUGGGCGGAAGGUGAAUGCAAGGGAAAAGCAGGAUGGUUCCCACAUGCUUAUGUCGAAAGACGCGAGCGUGUUCUGGCGAGCAAGGUCCCGCAUAUUUUCUAG